AUUGGCAUCAGUUUUCAUCUGCACAACUCUGAGGUCUACAAACGCACAACCGUCUCUCUAACAGUAUGAAGACCUGCUUUCUUGUCGUCGUUUUGGCUCUUGCCCUGAUCAGCUGUGCCUCCGCUCAGGUCGGUGGGAUGCAGAGUUUAAUGAUGAUGUCCAUGCUCGACACUCCGGAUAUGAGGACACUAAUGAUGUGCCAGAUGUGCAUGAGGAACCCAGGUGCAAACAUUAUGACCUGCUCGAUGAUGGGAAUGUGUGGAAACUAGCCACGUGGCCAAAGUUAUGCGAUAGAGAGGUUAGAACAAUUUAUAAUGUAAAGACACCUUGUCUUCCACGUCAUUACAUCUAUAAUUCACAAUACAGGAUACAGGAUAACGUAUUAAUCCAUGGUGCUUUGAGUACCACUUGUAUAGUACAAUUACCAUCAACAUCUCUACGUCUACACAGUACCGCCAUUUGCCGAUCACAAAGAAAACAAGGAUGUGCUGAAAACCAUCUGAUUUCGAUGACGCUAUCCAAACUGUGAUGCAUAGUUCGUCAUUUCCAGUGCAAGAAGAACAUUCCAGUGACGUCAUUGAAAUUAGUAUUUAAAGGAACAUCAUUUUCGUAUUUAAAAAUUCAUCACAUAAUUGUCAUUGCUAUUUAUUAAACGCCAUACAUUUAACAAAAA